CAAGCUUCAGGUUCUCACGAGAACGGCCAGCUGUCGCGACGCAGUUCACUAGGAGCACUGGGCCUAGGGAUGUACUUCGGUGACAACGGGCAGUGGCGGGCUAUUCUGUUCGAGCGAUGACGCACACAAUGCUUACUAACACGGACUCUACGGCGCCAGCUGCUCUGCGCGCUCAUACACAGUUCUCCAAUGUAAGGUAAAGGGGUGGCUCCUCCACGCUCGAGAAAAAAAAUCCAUGAUUACUAUAUUCUUCGCUGAAGGGGAUCCUUCACUUCACGAGAAGUGAGUUCCACAUGAAAGGGCGGCCAGGGCCACGCAGGCAGGUCCACAUCACAGGAGUAUGUUGUGCAGCUUGGCAAUACCUACUUAUUGUACCUGUUUUUACUCGUAUUCAUACUACAAUAUAAUACACAUUAUGUACAUUAUAUAUAAACUCAUACAUUUGUGUGAGAAAGAUCUCACACUGUAUACCCAAUGAGCAAUAAACUGGUUCCGACCUAUCUAA